AAGUCGUAACAAGGUUUCCGUAGGUGAACCUGCGGAAGGAUCAUUACCAAAUGACCAACCAACCUUCACACAUGAGCACUUGUCUGCAGGACCUGGCGCGAGCCCUAUGAUCUGAUGAUUAUCCAUCGGUGUCUGGCCGCGUCAACUUCAUCAACAACCACAUACAACAACAAUACAACUUAUCCAUCAUUGCAGUGUAGUGACUGCAAUCAAAACUAAAAAACAACUUUUAGCAACGGAUCUCUAGGCUCUU
rnacentral:misc_RNA from 1 species